CUGACUUUUCGAACGACAUAUCUCUCUUUCAGAUGGCGCCCCUGGGCUGCUUGUAGAGGAAGACGACCAUGGUGACGCAACGGCUCCUUACUGGAAGGCCAAGCUCGGCUGGAUCCUUGAACAGAUUGGCAAGUUUCUGCAACAGUCAGCGACCUCGUACUCCUCCGAAGAUGGUGCCGUCAAGCCUCAAGAUAUCACUGCCGGGCAGAUUAGAAAAGUUGCGGAGGUGCUCAACAAGGCUGCCGAUGCCGUCGAAAAGGGAGAGGAUUUUAACUUGUUUUGAGCAAUAAAACAAUUU